AAGAUGAUGAGCACGACUCCAGGAUAUUAAAUUAUCCAGUGAGAGAUGCUUCUUAAUACCAAGUUGGUACCACAAUGCUGCAUCCCAUGGUAGGAAGGAACACUGUGUCCAGUCGUCAAGGAGGGAAAGGAGAUCCUGCAGGGUGGAAAGAGAGAAUUGACUCCUGACUCCUGGCCUCUAUAUGUGCACCAUGGAAUGUGGAGACCUUCUUCAUGUUGCUACAAGAUGGGGAAUCCAAGUUGACCAGGAACUUCUGGGGAGUGUCAUUUGAACUAAAAGUAAGCCUUUAACCCCCACUCAGGAGGCAGAGGCAGGAGGAUAUCUAUGAACUCAAAACCAUCCUGGUCUCCAUAUCAAGUUCCAGGCCAGCCUGGGUUACAUAGUAAGACCCUGUCUAAAUUAAAUAAAUAUACAAAUAACAAACAAUAAAUAUAAAUGCAAGCUCUCGGCAACUGAAAGAAUAAAGAGUUUUUUCCCAAAC
rnacentral:lncRNA from 1 species